GAUUCUUCCUUAUCGUUUGUAACAAACUCACACGCUCUCUCUCAAAAAAUGCACAUGCCCAUGCACACUGACAUCCCUAAAAAAUAGGGAACGCUGAGAAUUCCAGACCACCCUCAUUUUUCUUAUAUACUCCCUUACUCAUCCUCUAAAACGGAGAUCGGAUCCCUCACCCUAAAAAAAAAACGCUAGCCAGCCGCCCCUCUAUUUCUUUUCUCUCCAUCACUCAAGCCCAUUCUCAUCUCACUAUCAUUUUACGCACACGAAUCUAUCAUCUGUUAUUCUCACAAACACACACGAGAUGGCUGAAAAAAUAGGUCUGAAACUCGAAAAUUAAAAAGAGGUCUGAAAACAAAAAGAAAAUUAGUGGAUUUCAACGGAUUUUACAUGGGAAAUGAUUCAAAGGUCUGGAGUUUCUUUUAUUUUUGGUUGAUUUGAGAGAGUUCUCCAUUUGUUCAUGGGUUUGCAAAUCUAGAGUGAAUCUGCAUUAUCUCCCCACUUUCUGGGUGUUCCAGUUUGAUUUCGGAUUCAGAAAUUGAAGCUGCGUUUUGUUGAUUUUUGCUGUUGCUGAGCUCCGAUUUACUGAUUUCCAGCACUUAUGGAGGUUGAUUGAAUACUGUUGGGUUUGCGGUGCCGAUUCGAAGUCCGUUCGUGGUUCGUAUCGUGUUUCUGUUGCCGUUUUAAACUCCGGACGUAGAUUCGUCUCGCUCGUAUAACUGCUGAAAUUUCUGUCAAUUAAAUCUUCUCAUUCAGGUUCUUCUUGAUUCUCUCUUAUCUCAUGAAUGGUGUGAUUAAAGUAUGAUAAGAGCUGUGGGUUAAAAUGGGUUUAAAGGUUAAAAAAAUUGGUAUAAUUGUUGAGAACAAAUUUACCGGGAUUGAAUGGAGUAUUGAUCUAAGAAGAUUUUCUUUUUAUCUUUAUGUUUGGACAUAUUCAGACCUUUUGGACUCGUUUGUUGUCGCUGAUCUUGGAUUCAUUUGAGUAUUAUUCCAGUGUGUACUUCAAUUACUUUUGGGUAUUUUCUUAUCUUUAAUGUUCAUUUAAGAUACGUUGCAUUCCAUAUGCUUGAGAGAUAACAAAAAUGGAUCUUUAAGAAGUCAAUUUGAAGUUUGCACAACUACUGACUUGUUUUGGUGUUCGUGGGAAUAUUGUGUUAAUCGGUUUAAAUAUCACUUCUUAUUGGCAUUAGAAACUGACAUGAUUUAUGGGAAUGAUUUUUCAUGAAAGGAAAUCUUUUUUUUUUGGGUGUGACCAAUGUUAAUUGCUAGAACUAUUCAUUCAUGUCGUUUGUUUCUAUGUGAGUAGCAAUUCUGUGUUGGUCUUAUACAGCGUAAAACUCUUAUCUAUGUCAAUUUGCAUCUUAUGUGUCAUAAGUAUGUGAGUUUAGUCAUGAAUGAGAUUGGUAUUAUCAAGGUUAAAUAUCUGGCAUUUAAAAACGGUUUGAGAAGAAUAGUAUUUCGAUAUUUGUUCUGUUUGGAUUUUAGAACAAUAGAUAGCAUUUAGGAGUCGACGGGGUUACAAAUGGAUUUUCAUAUAGCUCUUAUCAUACCUUUAAUCCACCUUUUGUUAUUUUGUCUCAUGUCGUUAUCUUAUUAGAGUCUUUUACCUGUUUAGCCGAUCAUAUUUUAUGUAUUUCUUUCUUGAGUGCCACAAAUUUUGUCAAUAGAUGUGAGUUUGCUCAUGAAUGACUAUUGAGUUGUGGUAGUGGGGAAUGACCAAAGCCCAUUAGCAAUUAAUAGUUCUCAUAUUUUAGGUAUCAGGCUCGGUCUAAUAAAUGAUAAGUUAAAGGGAUAUGGGCAUGAAAUCUCUCUUUUGCAAAAGUGCUCCAUACUCUCAAGCCUUUCACGCAUAAUCUCAAAGUAGUUUAGGAAAUAAUUCAUAAAUAUCGUAGCUUGC
rnacentral:lncRNA from 1 species